AUUGAACGCUGGCGGCAGGCCUAACACAUGCAAGUCGAGCGAGUGGCGGACGGGUGAGUAAUGUAUGGGAAACUGCCCGAUUGAGGGGGAUAACUACUGGAAACGGUAGCUAAUCCCGCAUACCAUCAGAUGUACCCAUAUGGGAUUAGCUAGUAGGUGGGGUAACGGCUCACCUAGGCGACGAUCCCUAGCUGGUCUGAGAGGAUGACCAGCCACACUGGGACUGAGACACGGCCCAGACUCCUACGGGAGGCAGCAGUGGGGAAUAUUGCACAAUGGGCGCAAGCCUGAUGCAGCCAUGCCGCGUGUAUGAAGAAGGCCUUCGGGUUGUAAAGUACUUUCAGUCGGGAGGCGUUACCGACAGAAGAAGCACCGGCUAACUCCGUGCCAGCAGCCGCGGUAAUAC
rnacentral:rRNA from 1 species